CUUCAGUGCCCUGAGCCCCAUAGGAUGUGGAACUCCACCCCAGAUCCAGCUCAGGGAUUCACAGUGCUGGAAUUGUAACACAGCUAUUUAUGAAGCAGGACUACCAUUAUCAACUAGAGCUAGGGUUGACAGCAGGACUGCAGAAUCCAGAACACCACCAAGAAGAAUCAAACAAGGCAGCAGGGAGUCCUAAAGAAAAUUCAGUGUUUUAUAUGUUUUACGUACUUAAUUUGUUGGUUUAGGAUCACUGGUUGAGAGGUUGGGUCUUCAUUUUUUAAUGGCAGCACUAAUCACUUGUUAAGAUGCUUUCAAAUUUCAUUAGAUAUUGUUUUCAUGUAUUAUACAUAGACUUGCUUGAGCACGUCCAGAGGAGGGCCACAAAAAUGAUCCCAGGGAUGGAACACCUCCUUACAAGGACAGGCUGAGAGCUGGGGCUGUGCAGCCUGGAGAAGGGAAGGCUCCAGGAGACCUGAGAGCAGCCUGUCAGUAUCUUAAGGGGGGCUAUAAGAAGGAAGGGA
rnacentral:lncRNA from 1 species